UACGUAGGGUCCGAGCGUUGUCCGGAAUUAUUGGGCGUAAAGGGCUCGUAGGCGGUUCGUCACGUCGGGAGUGAAAAACUCGGAGCUUAACUCCGAGCCUGCUUCCGAUACGGGCAGACUAGAGGUAGGCAGGAGAGCGGAACUCCUGGUGUAGCGGUGGAAUGCGCAGAUAUCAGGAAGAACACCGGUGGCGAAGGCGGCUCUCUGGCCUUACCUGACGCUGAGGAGCGAAGCGUGGUAGCGAACAGG
rnacentral:rRNA from 1 species